CUCAAACUUGCAAUCCUGUUGUCUCAGCCUCCCAAUUUUCUGUGAUGAUGGGCAUGGCUACUAGGCCUAGCCUCCUUCUUUCUUAAAGAGACCAAUGAUCAUUUACUCAAUUAACCACACAUGAGGUUUGUUUAAAAAUAUUAAUUGAGUAUAGUCACUGUAUCAAAGGCUGAAGAUACAAAGAUGAAUAAGAAAUGAUACUUAACUGCAAAUUCUCACAAUCUGUGAAGGGAACAAAUGGACUUUCUCUCUAUAAGUUCAGAUAUGUGAGACAUUCUUGGCUUAUUGCUCUGGAGAACAUACACAGCAGAGAAGAAAGCAGCAAAACCAGCUUCCUGCAAAAUGUUUCUUAGCCUUUAUUCCCCAAAUCUAAGGUACAAGAGGGAAAAAGAGGAUCAUGGAUAGAGGCCAAUGUGUUUAAGAAACUUUAAAAAGAAAGAAUUCUUUCAACUAAAAAGUAAUUUCCCAUGAUAGAAGAAGCGGGGGACAAGAGAGGUAUUGUUCAGGAAUGGCCAGAACCUGGGGGAUGCUUCCUAGCUGCACCCUAUUAGGCAGCAAGACCCAGAGGGGAAUACCUGCAUGUGACCAGGAGUCUUUUCUCCUCUCUACCAAAAUUCCCCUUCCCCCAUCAUGACACAGAAAUAGCAGAAGUUGGAGCUGAAUGGAUCAUGUCAGCAGAGAAAAUGGAUGUCUGCAUGAUAAAAUGUAAAAACAUACCCAGAUGAAAGACUGUUCCUCCACAUCCUGUUGCAUCAAUGCCUAUAUAUGUUUCUGGAAAAUUUAUAACCAUAUUGAAGCCCCAAACUCACUGCUACUUGGAAUUAAGUAUCCCACCAAACCAGCAGGAUUUGAGAUACCUAAAAAAUCUGGAAAUGCAAUUUUUCUAGGGUAUCUGGGUCUAUGAUCAGUAUAAAAAAACAAAAAUGUCCAGUGUAAAGAGUACCAAAAGUAAAAAGCACUUGAAUAUCACUUAAAUUAUAGCUAUUAUCAAAGGUAUUAUGACGCUAUGAACAUCAUUAUUAAUCAAUACAUUAAAAUCCUCAAGUAUUUGUCUAUUCUUGAAAAGUCACUAAUUUCAACCUUUUAUUAAAGUAAUACUACUAUAGCAAUAAAUUCAUACCAAGUUUAUAGCAGCAAAAUUCAUAAUACUCAAACUAUGAAACUAACCUAGAUGUACAUCAAUGGGUGAAUGGAUAAAGAAAAUGUGGUGUAUAUACACAACGGAGUUAUAUUUGGUCAUAAAGAAUAAAAUCAACUCAUUUGCAGGAAAAUGGAUGGAACUUAAUAACAUUAUGUUAAGCAAAAUUAGUCAAACUCAGAAAAUCAAGGGCUGCAUGCUUUCUCAUGGGGUAGCUCUAGAGAACAAAGGGAAAAGGUUAUGGGGGAAUCUCAUGGAAACAAAAGGGUAGAGUAGGGGAAGGAGAUCAAAGGGAGAAAUAAAAGGAUGGAAGAAGAGGUACUGGAGAAUGAAAUUUUGAUCCAAUUAUACUGUGUACAUGCAUGAACAUGUAACAAUGAACCACACUAAUAUGUAUAAUACACCAAUAAAUAUUUUAAAAUGUUUCUUUCACUGACAAAAAUUCAAACUUUCCUAUUUAUUUCCUAGCAUUACUUAUCUUCUGAUACAUAAAGAAUAAUGAAAUUAUCAAAAUGUGGGGUAGUAGAAGUUGAGAAAAUCAAAGACCUAGAGAAUGAAUACUCUCAAUGAUACCUAAAUAAAUAAAAAUUAAUUGUAGUUUAAAUGGUUUAAAUGUCAAAGUAAGGAGGAAAUUUUUUGUUUUAAUUUUUCAUAUGCUAAUACACAUAUGCAGACAUAUUUCUUCAUUUGCUCAAUUGAAAAAUCAUCUUCCCAUGCUUUUUCUUCAAUGUUUUUACAGACAUGGGCUGUUAUGGUUUGAAUAUGAGGUGCCCUCUGAAAGUUUAUGUGAGACAAUGCAGGAAUGUUCAGAGGUACAAUGAUUAUAUUAUUAGAGCUGUAACCUAAUAGGUAGAUUCAACCAUUGGAUGGAAUAAUAUUUUGAAAGGAUUAGUGAAUUGAAUGGUAACUGUAGGCAGCUGGGGUGUGACUGAAUAGAGUAUAUCACUGGGGACAUUACUUUGGGGUUUCAUACUUAGUCCCUGGUUUUUUAAUCUCUCUCUUUCUCUCUUUCUCUCUCUCUGUGUUUCUGUCUCUGUCUCGUCUCUCUCUUCUUCCGAACUGAUAUGAACUGAGCUGAUUUCCUCUGCCACAUCCUUCCACCAUGCUACUUG